rnacentral:lncRNA from 1 species
AACUCUUCUCUGGCUUUCCUAGACUUUUUUCCUGGGUUCUUUUCUGCUGAACCUCAGGGUGGAGAGAGUUCAGGAGAUAGAAAAUCAUAGCCUUCUGAGAAGGGAAUACGUGACAAGUACACUGUGAGAGCCCUUCAUGGGCUUGUCUGCACAAGCAACGAAAGAAAACUUCAGCCCCAGACACGAUCGAUCUGCAAGUCAUUCCAGGAAAUGGGUGGGAGUCCUGGAUGUUUUAAAAGAAUGUCCAUGGGACUAGGAUUGGGGAUGAGGAAGGAGACACGGGGUCAAGUCUUGCUCUUACCUCAUAGUGGCCAAUGGUGUUUAGCUUGGUGAUUCCAUCUUCAAGAAUCACGGAGGAACUGUCGAUGUCCAGAAGUUCUUUCUGUCGUGUGCCC